rnacentral:rRNA from 1 species
AGGACGAACGCUGGCGGCGUGCUUAACACAUGCAAGUCGAGCGGUGAUCCUCCUUCGGGAGGUGAUCAGCGGCGAACGGGUGAGUAACACGUGGGCAACCUGCCCUCACACUGGGAUAACCUCGGGAAACCGGGCUAAUACCGGAUACGACCUCGAGCGGCAUCUCUUGAGGUGGAAAGCUCCGACGGUGAGGGAUGGGCCCGCGGCCUAUCAGCUUGUUGGUGGGGUAAUGGCCUACCAAGGCGACGACGGGUA